rnacentral:rRNA from 1 species
GUCGAGCGAGCAGAACCAGCAGAUUUACUUCGGUAAUGACGCUGGGGACGCGAGCGGCGGAUGGGUGAGUAACACGUGGGGAACCUGCCCCAUAGUCUGGGAUACCACUUGGAAACAGGUGCUAAUACCGGAUAAGAAAGCAGAUCGCAUGAUCAGCUUAUAAAAGGCGGCGUAAGCUGUCGCUAUGGGAUGGCCCCGCGGUGCAUUAGCUAGUUGGUAAGGUAACGGCUUACCAAGGCAAUGAUGCAUAGCCGAGUUGAGAGACUGAUCGGCCACAUUGGGACUGAGACACGGCCCAAACUCUACGGGAGGCAGCAGUAGGGAAUCUUCCACAAUGGACGCAAGUCUGAUGGAGCAACGCCGCGUGAGUGAAGAAGGUUUUCGGAUCGUAAAGCUCUGUUGUUGGUGAAGAAGGAUAGAGGUAGUAACUGGCCUUUAUUUGACGGUAAUCAACCAGAAAGUCACGGCUAACUACGUGCCAGCAGCCGCGGUAAUACGUAGGUGGCAAGCGUUGUCCGGAUUUAUUGGGCGUAAAGCGAGCGCAGGCGGAAGAAUAAGUCUGAUGUGAAAGCCCUCGGCUUAACCGAGGAACUGCAUCGGAAACUGUUUUUCUUGAGUGCAGAAGAGGAGAGUGGAACUCCAUGUGUAGCGGUGGAAUGCGUAGAUAUAUGGAAGAACACCAGUGGCGAAGGCGACUCUCUGGUCUGCAACUGACGCUGAGGCUCGAAAGCAUGGGUAGCGAACAGGAUUAGAUACCCUGGUAGUCCAUGCCGUAAACGAUGAGUGCUAAGUGUUGGGAGGUUUCCGCCUCUCAGUGCUGCAGCUAACGCAUUAAGCACUCCGCCUGGGGAGUACGACCGCAAGGUUGAAACUCAAAGGAAUUGACGGGGGCCCGCACAAGCGGUGGAGCAUGUGGUUUAAUUCGAAGCAACGCGAAGAACCUUACCAGGUCUUGACAUCUAGUGCCAUCCUAAGAGAUUAGGAGUUCCCUUCGGGGACGCUAAGACAGGUGGUGCAUGGCUGUCGUCAGCUCGUGUCGUGAGAUGUUGGGUUAAGUCCCGCAACGAGCGCAACCCUUGUUAUUAGUUGCCAGCAUUAAGUUGGGCACUCUAAUGAGACUGCCGGUGACAAACCGGAGGAAGGUGGGGAUGACGUCAAGUCAUCAUGCCCCUUAUGACCUGG